GACGAACGCUGGCGGCGUGCUUAACACAUGCAAGUCGAACGGAAAGGCCCUGCGUUUGUGGGGUGCUCGAGUGGCGAACGGGGGAGUAAGACGUGAGUAACCUGCCCUUGACUUUGGGAUAACUUCAGGAAACGGGGGCUAAUACCGGAUAGGAGCUCCUGCUGCGUGGAGGGGGUUGGAAAGUUUCGGCGGUUGGGGAUGGACUCGCGGCUUAUCAGCUUGUUGGUGGGGUAGGGGAUUACCAAGGCUUUGACGGGUAGCCGGCCUGAGAGGGUGGCCGGCCACCUUGGGACUGCGAUACGCACCAGACUCCUACGUGAGGCAGUAGUGGGAAGUCUUGCCCAAUGGGCCGAAGCCUGAUGCGACAACGCCGCGUGCGGGAUGACGGCUUUCUGGUUGUAAACCGCUUUCGCCUGUGACGAAGCGUGAGUGACGGUACUGGGUAAAGAAGCACCGGCUAACUACGUG
rnacentral:rRNA from 1 species